UACGAAGGGUGCUAGCGUUGUUCGGAAUCACUGGGCGUAAAGCGCGCGUAGGCGGUUAUUCAAGUCAGGGGUGAAAUCCUGGAGCUCAACUCCAGAAUUGCCUUUGAAACUAAAUAACUAGAGUGUCGGAGGGGAUAGCGGAAUUCCUAAUGUAGAGGUGAAAUUCGUAGAUAUUAGGAGGAACACCGGUGGCGAAGGCGGCUAUCUGGACGACAACUGACGCUUAGGCGCGAAAGCGCGGGGAUCAAACAGG
rnacentral:rRNA from 1 species